AGAGUUUGAUCAUGGCUCAGAACGAACGCUGGCGGCGUGCUUAAGACAUGCAAGUCGAACGGUAAGGCGAGUCACUCUUCGGAGUGAAUCGCACACGAGUGGCGCACGGGUGAAUAACGCGUGGGUAAUCUGCCUUCGGGUUUGGGACAACUCCGGGAAACUGGAGCUAAUACCGAAUAAGACCACGAGGUCCUUGGGCUUCGCGGAAAAAGAUGGCCUCUUCUUGAAAGCUAUCGCCUGUAGAUGAGCCCGCGCCCCAUUAGCUUGUUGGUGAGGUAACGGCUCACCAAGGCAUCGAUGGGUAGCUGGUCUGAGAGGAUGAUCAGCCACACUGGAACUGAGACACGGUCCAGACUCCUACAGGAGGCAGCAGUCGGGAAUCUUGCACAAUGGGCGAAAGCCUGAUGCAGCAACGCCGCGUGAGGGAUGAAGGCCCUCGGGUCGUAAACCUCUGUCGGAAGGGAAGAAAGUAUUUCGGGCCAAUACCUCGGAGUACUGACGGUACCUUCAAAGGAAGCGCCGGCUAACUCCGUGCCAGCAGCCGCGGUAAUACAGAGGGCGCGAGCGUCAUUCGGAAUCAUUGGGCGUAAAGCGCGUGUAGGCGGCUAUGCAAGUCGGAUGUGAAAGCCCGGGGCUCAACCCCGGAAUUGCAUUCGAAACUGCAUAGCUAGAGUCUCGGAGAGGAGGGCGGAAUUCCCGGUGUAGAGGUGAAAUUCGUAGAUAUCGGGAGGAACACCAGUGGCGAAGGC
rnacentral:rRNA from 1 species